rnacentral:rRNA from 1 species
GGUAACUGGGCGAGGGUCAGACGUAAGU